GCGGAGGGAUCAUUACCGAGUUUACAACUCCCAAACCCAAUGUGAACGUUACCAAACUGUUGCCUCGGCGGGAUCUCUGCCCCGGGUGCGUCGCAGCCCCGGACCAAGGCGCCCGCCGGAGGACCAACCAAAACUCUUUUGUAUACCCCCUCGCGGGUUUUUAUAUCUGAGCCAUCUCGGCGCCUCUCGUAGGCGUUUCGAAAAUGAAUCAAAACUUUCAACAACGGAUCUCUUGGUUCUGGCAUCGAUGAAGAACGCAGCGAAAUGCGAUAAGUAAUGUGAAUUGCAGAAUUCAGUGAAUCAUCGAAUCUUUGAACGCACAUUGCGCCCGCCAGUAUUCUGGCGGGCAUGCCUGUCCGAGCGUCAUUUCAACCCUCGAACCCCUCCGGGGGGUCGGCGUUGGGGAUCGGCCCUUUACGGGGCCGGCCCCGAAAUACAGUGGCGGUCUCGCCGCAGCCUCUCCUGCGCAGUAGUUUGCACACUCGCAUCGGGAGCGCGGCGCGUCCAUUGCCGUAAAACACCCAACUUUCUGAAAUGUUGACCUCGGAUCAGGUAGGAAUACCCGCUGAACUUAAGCAU
rnacentral:rRNA from 1 species